rnacentral:rRNA from 1 species
AGCUUGCUUGGUGGAUCAGUGGCGAACGGGUGAGUAACACGUGAGCAACCUGCCCUGGACUCUGGGAUAAGCGCUGGAAACGGCGUCUAAUACUGGAUAUGAGCCUCUAUCGCAUGGUGGGGGUUGGAAAGAUUUUUUGGUCUGGGAUGGGCUCGCGGCCUAUCAGCUUGUUGGUGAGGUAAUGGCUCACCAAGGCGUCGACGGGUAGCCGGCCUGAGAGGGUGACCGGCCACACUGGGACUGAGACACGGCCCAGACUCCUACGGGAGGCAGCAGUGGGGAAUAUUGCACAAUGGGCGGAAGCCUGAUGCAGCAACGCCGCGUGAGGGAUGACGGCCUUCGGGUUGUAAACCUCUUUUAGCAGGGAAGAAGCGAGAGUGACGGUACCUGCAGAAAAAGCGCCGGCUAACUACGUGCCAGCAGCCGCGGUAAUACGUAGGGCGCAAGCGUUAUCCGGAAUUAUUGGGCGUAAAGAGCUCGUAGGCGGUUUGUCGCGUCUGCUGUGAAAUCCCGAGGCUCAACCUCGGGCCUGCAGUGGGUACGGGCAGACUAGAGUGCGGUAGGGGAGAUUGGAAUUCCUGGUGUAGCGGUGGAAUGCGCAGAUAUCAGGAGGAACACCGAUGGCGAAGGCAGAUCUCUGGGCCGUAACUGACGCUGAGGAGCGAAAGGGUGGGGAGCAAACAGGCUUAGAUACCCUGGUAGUCCACCCCGUAAACGUUGGGAACUAGUUGU